AAAAAAUGUACGUGUCUGUCUCGGAGAUGGCAGAUAUUGUACCGGAACACUGUCAAAUAGAAAAUGCUACUAUUUGGGGUCUGUAGUUCUGAUUUGUUUAUUUUGUUAAGGUAACUAAACUCUAAGAGUUGUCUAUGUCAAGUUUGGAUUGAGGAAUUAACCAUCCACACUGUAAAAAAUGACCCACAGGCUUACUAAAUAUUGCAAAAGAAAAUCUGUGAUUUUUUUCUUAAAAUAAUAGGUUUGGUUUUACUUAAAUUUUGGAAUAUAGUACUUAAUUUAUGUGUUGAAAAAGACUGGCAUUUGCAAAUAAAAAUCCAAGGUAAUAUGCUGCUAAAUUUUAACUAAUAUUUCUAAGUAACAACCAAAAACGUAAAGAUCUGAUAUUGAAAUGAUCAUUAUUGUGUUGGACUGACAUGCUAGAUCUAGUUUUGAACGACAAUUGUGCUUGGAACAUUUCAAUGGAAGUCGUCUUGAUCUUUCUCCUCUGGAAUGGCCAUGUGGCAGGCAAGGACCAAAUUAUAACUUGGAAUGUAGUUUGGAUCUCUCUACACAUAUUUUCAACGAAAUUUCAAAAAUAUUCGUUAAAUAAUAUUCUUCAAGUACGAAAAGCCUUUAGCUAGCUAUAUUGCCAGAGUACGUUAUAUAUUUGCACGUUGAUAAGCUAGCUAGUUAACGGCCAUGAUGUCUGUAUAGUUAGCUAGUGAUGGGCAUGCUACUAGCUAGUAAGUUAGCAGUGCAUUUUCUCGCCUCAGCGCUGUUUAACUUUUGCCAUUUUUGUGUAUAGGUUUUCACGUAUUCAGACGUUCCUGAGUUCUGGACAUACCAUAUUUUCCAGAAUACAUUGACAAGAUAGCAUAUAGGGGCAGCAGGUAGCCUAGUGGUUAGAGUGUUGGGCCAGUAACCAAAAGGCUGCUGGAUUGAAUCCCGGAGAUGACAAGGGAUCAGGUGGCACAUGCAAUGUAAGAUCUCCAGUUUUGCAGCAUUCAAGUACAAAUACGUGACAACCACAACAUUGUGAGUGCCAAAAUGGCAAAGACCUUCUCAUAUUGAAGACAAGAUGUCGUUCAGGCCCUUCCUGUGAAGGACUUCAAAGAAAGAUGGCCAGCCCUGUUUGAGCCCACUCAGAUUAAGGAAGAGUUCAGAAGAAUUACAACUGUUGCUCUUGAGUCCACCUUUAUCCAGAAGCUGGACGAAUAUACACCAAAACUAUUGGACUUGUUUAAGUCAAAACGAGGUGCUGUAAAGUGCAACACCAUCCAGGAAAGAAGAGACAGUGUGAUCCGUGGCCUGAUCAUAUACCUUGGUGAGAGGUUUGAAGACCUUAUUACAGAAUACAAGGAUGCUAACGACGCCAUGAUCCGAGAGGACCUCGUUCAGCAUGUGAUGAAGGUGUUCACUGUGAAGGAUCUGCACCAGAAUAUAGAGCAUGUGAUCUACAAUCGAAGGAGCAGAGGUCCUGGCAGGUAUUUGCAGUGUUACAGUCAUGUAACAGGUACCCAAAAUAACUGAAAUAAGGUACCCAAAAGAACUGAAAUAUACCUUUGAGGUGUUCCAAAAAGUAUUCUUAGAACUUGAUGAUCUCAGGACCUUUCCACGGUUCCAAGCUCUAAAGAUGAAGUUACUUGUUUUCAGAGAUAUCUAUGAGAACUCUCAAAGGGCCACUCACAAACUGUGGUCUAAACCCUACUCAGUAAGCUGAUAAGCUAGUUGCUAGGUGGUAUAGGAGCUACAGUUUACAUGAUGUUCUUUUUCAAGUGAAGUCAUAAGAGACAUUGUUAAUUCCUGGUUAAAAAAACUGCUUUGUUUUAAAAGUUACUUCAUAUGCACUAGUGAAUUUCUGAGAUUAUUUGUAGUCAGGUGCAAGCUAUCUGGAUGCAACUUUACCUAAGGAGGCAAGGUGGAGUUGUACCCAGAAUGCUUAUACCUGUCAAAAUAAUAUGUCCAUAUGGGCUUCACUAGUGCAAAUGGAGUCAGGUUUAAGGGACAAUUUGGCAUAUAUUUUGUAACAAUAUGUGCAAUGUAUGUUUUGAAAAGCCAUGUUUUGAUUAAUCUAAAACAGUUUGAAUGAGGAGGUAUUUGAGCUAAAGUUCAUAUUGUGCUUUGUGUAAAGUCUAUUAAGAUAAAUCGUUAAUUUACGUUUCUGUUAAAAUAUCGCUUUGAUGUUAAGGGGCACACAGACCAGGGAAUUCUUGCUAAAAUGUACAAGAUGUGAGGUCUAAGUGCUAAUCCCAAACUAUCACCUAAACUUUAUGCAGCUGUGAAGAUCUGAAAUGAUUUGUAGUCAGGUGCAAGCUAUCUGGAUGUUAUACCCAGAAUGCUUACAGAUUACAAAAUAAUGAGCUCCACAAAUGCUUAAGGAGUAGGGUUUAAUUUGAGAUUGAAGUUUGAAGAAAACCUUUAUUCAAAAUAAAGUUGUUGAAGUUUGAAGUUGAACACUGUUGUUUCUUUUUGCAUAUUCCCUUCUAUAGAAAAAAAUAAAAAAACGUAAAUUAUCCCAAGUAUAUUGAGGUAACUAUUUGCAUCAGCUUUUUAAGUAUAGUUGUGAGUAUAUAUUUGAGUAGUAGGAACCCAAUUUAAAUACAUUUUACUAACCUGAGUACCAUAAGUAACUGAGCAAAAAACAUUUGUAGAUUAAACAUAGAAUAUAAAUUACGGUACUGAGUAAAUUCAGCAAAUGAAACUUACAAUAUUAGUUCAGUAACUGAUUACAUUAAGUAUAUCAAACGUAUAACAUUAGUUCUGGGACUUGAAGGACUUAAGCAGGUCAAAAAAAAAAACUGAUGAUCCUGAUAAAAUUAAGUUGAAUGAAAGGAAUUUUUGAGAUCCUGUUAGUUGUUUGCACUUAAAAUAUUUGAGUUUGUAAUGUACUAAAAGCGAAGUAUAUUAUACUUAAAUGAUCCUCCUUGUUGGAUUUACUUAAAAGACCGAUGCAAAUAAUGACCAAAUUUUUUGGAGGAAAAGGGGCACAAUAUUUUUUACAGUGCAAUGAUAACUCUCAUCACGAGUUCCCAUGAGAGCGAGAAAGAGAGAGACAUUUUUACACAUGCCUCCAAGCAUCCCAGUUCUCCUGAACUCAUAGCUAUCUGAACUUGGUUAUCUGGUGCAUCUAAUCCUAUUAGCACUCAC
rnacentral:lncRNA from 1 species